rnacentral:rRNA from 1 species
AGCUCCAGUAGCGUAUAUUAAAGUUGUUGCAGUUAAAAAGCUCGUAGUUGGAUUUCUGCUUGUAGCGUUGGGCCCGCCCGGGUUACCGGUGUGUGUGCCUGUUCGCUCCUUGCAUCCUUCUAGAAAACGGCUCUCUCCUUCAUUGGCUGUGGAGUCGCAAUCUAGAUCUUUUACUUUGAAAAAAUUAGAGUGUUUAAAGCAGGCUUGUGCUAUGAAUACAUUAGCAUGGAAUAAUAAUUUAGGACUUUAGUUCUAUUUUGUUGGUUUCUAGAACUGAAGUAAUGAUUGAUAGGGAUAGUUGGGGGUGCUAGUAUUCAGCGGCCAGAGGUGAAAUUCUUGGAUUCGCUGAAGACUAACUUAUGCGAAAGCAUUCACCAAGGAUGUCUUCUUUA